ACUGUCUUUUCAGAGAAAAUAACUCCACUAGUCGCUCCUUAGAUGGCUGCUAUUGGUGCUUCCUGGGGCAGUACUGCCUAGUGUGCAGCACUGCCAUCUAGUGUCUCCAUCCUCUGCAUGCAGACACUGAACUUUCCUCAUAGAGAUGCAUUGAUUCAAUUUAUCUUUAUGAGGAGAUGCUGAGGGUCUGGCUCUGCCCCCGAUCUGCCUAGUUGACAGUCUCAGCCAAUCCUAUGGGGAAGUAUUGUAAUUUGCUCAGACCACCACUUCUGAUCCAGCAGCUGCAGAAUUGAAUACAAGUAAUAUUUUACUAUAUUUAGG